CAGAGAGAAGGGCUCUUAAGAAACUUAUAGAAAGAGCUCGGGUAGAGGAAGACAAGCGGAAGGAAUCAAUUGUGGCUUAUCUCUUACAUCUGAUGAGGAAAUACUCCAAGUUAUUUAGAAGUGAGCUCACAGAUGACAAUGAUUCACAGGGUUCAACACCUUGUUCACCCACAGUUCAGGGUUCUUUUGUGGAUGCUGGUGAUGGCCAUGCCCUUGAGCGACAGUUGUCGAAGCUUAGUUCUUUCAAUUUCAAGCCAAACAAUAGGAAAUCUGACCAGAUAGCUGUUCCUCCAGAAGAAUUAAGGUGUCCAAUAUCAUUGCAGCUAAUGUAUGAUCCAGUAAUCAUUGCAUCUGGACAAACAUACGAGAGGAUCUGCAUUGAGAAAUGGUUCAGUGAUGGGCAUGACACCUGCCCAAAGACUCAACAGAAGCUCUCUCAUCUGUGUUUGACUCCUAAUUAUUGUGUCAAGGGUCUUGUCACUAGUUGGUGUGAACA
rnacentral:misc_RNA from 1 species